AUUUAUAUAGUUUAAUAAAACAUUACACUUUCACUGUAAAAUUAAAGGACUACUUUUAUAAAUA
rnacentral:tRNA from 1 species